rnacentral:rRNA from 1 species
GAUGAACGCUGGCGGCGUGCCUAAUACAUGCAAGUCGAGCGAACAGACGAGGAGCUUGCUCCUCUGACGUUAGCGGCGGACGGGUGAGUAACACGUGGAUAACCUACCUAUAAGACUGGGAUAACUUCGGGAAACCGGAGCUAAUACCGGAUAAUAUAUUGAACCGCAUGGUUCAAUAGUGAAAGACGGUUUUGCUGUCACUUAUAGAUGGAUCCGCGCCGCAUUAGCUAGUUGGUAAGGUAACGGCUUACCAAGGCGACGAUGCGUAGCCGACCUGAGAGGGUGAUCGGCCAAACUGGAACUGAGACACGGUCCAGACUCCUAAGGGAGGCAGCAGUAGGGAAUCUUCCGCAAAGGGCGAAAGCCUGACGGAGCAACGCCGCGUGAGUGAUGAAGGUCUUCGGAUCGUAAAACUCUGUUAUUAGGGAAGAAAAAAUGUGUAAGUAACUAUGCACGGCUUGACGGUACCUAAUCAGAAAGCCACGGCUAACUACGUG